rnacentral:tRNA from 1 species
AGCGCUGUGGUGCAGCAGGUUAACGCCCUGGCCUGAAGCGCCAGCAUCCCAUAUGGGUUCGAGUCCCAGCUGCUCCA